rnacentral:misc_RNA from 1 species
CCAUUACCGCUCCCCUCCCUUGCCGCUCUCUCUGCUUCGCUGCUUCCCCCGCUGAAUGCGUUUGUUUUGGCUCGUGCGUCGAGCUGGAUGGCCGUGCGACGAGCCGGCCGCAGUGGAGUGUGCGAAGCGUAACCGAACGGAUUUGCGCGGUACUCGUGACACUGUGCCCAGGCGACCGUCGACAUCUGUUUCUUUCCCUUCUCGAGUCCGCGCACCCGACGACAACGCGGCGGACGAGUCGUCGGAGGCAACCGGUCGAACAGCGAGCGCGUGUUGUGUGCACGGCGUUUGAAUCGUUCACCGGAGUUUCGGAAACGUCCAACUCGCUACCGUCGUCGUCUCAUCGCCAGCCCAGCGCUUACAGCGUUAGCAAGCCGCCGCGAUGUCAACGCUGCUGCUUCCCGGAGCGGUAGCGGUACUCUGGGGUUCCGGUGACAACCGGUGACAGCGCGCCGAUAUCCGCGCUACGGUGUGUGUGUGUAUUGGUGUCUUCGUCUAUCAGUAGUGGGACACGCGACGACGACGGGGCCUGCAGACGCCAGGCCAGGAAGGGAUAGCAGUUUACACGUCGACAAAGCUGGGCAUGGCUUCUGUUCUUACAUCCUGACCAACAUGUGGAAUAUUCAUGAUGUUACUGACGUAACAGAAAAUGGACAUCUCAACAGUGCUUGCAGCGUUGUGGGGUGUCCUCGUGCUCCUGCAAGAACCCUGUCAAGGCGUGCUCCAGGGGGGCAAUGGCCCACCCCCUUUGGUGUUGGUGCCUGGCUCCGUGCCCCCUUGGGAGGAAGGCACCGGCAGCCCCCAGGCACCCACUUACGAGGCCCCGCACACAUCCCCCAUCUUCGUGCGUGCCGAGCCUAUUGCCCUCAGUGAGCCCCAGGGCACAGGCUGGAGGCCCAUGCACAACCCUGCCAGCUGGCUGUCCCAGCCCCACCCAGACAACCUGCCCAUCAGCAUGGGUCCCUCACCAUAUGUCUUUCCUGGAAGCAAGCCUCCUCCUCCCAUCACUGCCCCUCCAUCAUUUCCGCAAGUGCCACAGGGCCCCGUCACACAUCCAGACUGGGGGAGCUCUGUACCGCCCACACCAAGAUACCCCGUUCCACCCCAGACACACACAUCACCUCAGCUCUCCAACGACAUUCCACCCGUGAGGACAAGUUCACCAACAACACCCAGUGAAAACACUGUGCCGCACCCAGUCUUCACAACGGAGCCAGCAACUGAAAGGCUUCCAGGCACUACCCAGGCUACGGCUGCCACAGAUGCAACGGUGCCUCUCUCUGUGAACACUGUGUUUGAUGAACAUGGAAAUGUGCAUCAGCAGAGCAAUGCAACGGCCAGUUCUACGUCAAGUGACUCGAGCCCGUUGCGGGUUCCCGGUGGCUUGUUAGACCAGAAAAAUGCACACCGUGUGGGUGUCUCUGUGGAUGCCGCAGCAGGCGGUAGUGUGACUGUCACGCCGAACGAGACAUCGACACCAGCCCCAGUUGACAGGGACUCGCCAAACAUCGAGUCUCCAGACUACCCAUUAGCAGGAGGUGCAGUGGCUGGAAUAGUCAUCGGCUCCAUUGCAUCAGUGGCACUCCUCGCAGGUCUGAUAACCUACGUUGUCUUACGGAGGCCUUUCCUGAAGCUGCUGCAUGGCCAGGACAAGUCGUCUACUGAUAAUGUCGCCUACAUCGAUGACUCGGUGCGCAGUAGCUACAUGAACACCCAUAUUGAGCUGCCCAAGGAAAACUCUGAAGAAAUGACUUCACUGGACAACGAUUCAUUUCUCAACAGCUUGGAAGCAGUGACCAUACAAAACUACUGGGCUGACACCAGCAAGAACACUAACGUGUGAAAAACAGCGAGCAGACGAAGAUCCCUGCCUCUGAUGCUGUGCAUUCCUUAACUUGUGAAUACUAGGUAGCGGACUGAAAUUGCUGUGCUGCAUUGUUUCAUCUGUUGUUGAAGAGGUGCAGUAGUGGCAGCAUGUGAUGGCAACCUUGCAUCGUUUUAUUAUUUUUUUUUUUCACUGUGCACUUCAUUCAUUUGACUUUUUGAGCACCUUCACUGAACAUUUCUGCAAAGCUGUUAUAUUAGCAAUGAUGUAAGCUCUUCUUGCCCAGUUUCGUUUUUUUUUAUUAUUAUUAUUAUUAUUGUAGCGUCAGGUUGUAAAGCGGCAACAUAAUUUUCUGUGUUUCAAAUGUGGAAUGUCGCUCUACAAGACAAUACAGUCGGACUAGUUAGAAUGGACAUGGAUAUAAUGAAUUAUAAGAUAACGAAGUAAAUCGGAAAUGUUUCUUUCUGACAUCAUUGCAUAACGAAUAUUGAGUAUAAUGAAGGUAUUUUCGAGUUUGAUGAGACUUCAGUUAUAUUGACGGUCAACUGUAUGCCAAAUUUGGCAAACGCACUUUUCCACUCGCCUUGAUUGCUACCAAUAUGGUCGUAGAUAUGUGCACCAAGAAAGCAAGAAUGGGAGGUUAGGACAUGCUGAAACAUUCCCUGCAUUGUAUACACUUCGAUCCCAUGCAUCACUAUUUUAAUGGUGGCAUUCUCGUGUAAAGUUGUCUGUUUGUAGAGUUUAUUGUAUCGCCCUCCUGUUGGGAAUUUAACUUUUUUUUUCAGCCUGUCGACUCAACAUUUCAUCAUGCCGUUGAACACGGAGAGUAGUAUAGACACCAGCGCACUG